rnacentral:rRNA from 1 species
UACGUAGGGGGCGAGCGUUGUCCGGAUUUAUUGGGCGUAAAAGGCUUGUAGGCGGCCACCGCGCGUCGUGCGUGAAAUCUCCCGGCUCAACUGGGAGGGGUCGUGCGAUACGGCGGGGCUCGAGGCCGGUAGGGGGACGCGGAAUUCCCGGUGUAGUGGUGGAAUGCGUAGAUAUCAGGAGGAACACCAAUUGCGAAGGCAGCUCGCUGGGACGUUACUGACGCUGAGACGCGAAAGCGUGGGGAGCAAACAGG